rnacentral:rRNA from 1 species
UACAGAGGGGGCAAGCGUUGCUCGGAAUUACUGGGCGUAAAGGGCGCGUAGGCGGCCUGCUAAGUCGAACGUGAAAUCCCUGGGCUCAACCCAGGAACUGCGUCCGAUACUGGUUGGCUUGAAUCCGGGAGAGGGACGUGGAAUUCCAGGUGUAGCGGUGAAAUGCGUAGAUAUCUGGAGGAACACCGGUGGCGAAGGCGGCAUCCUGGACCGGCAUUGACGCUGAGGCGCGAAAGCCAGGGGAGCAAACGGG